rnacentral:rRNA from 1 species
GACGAACGCUGGCGGCGUGCCUAAUACAUGCAAGUAGCACGCAGUUGCGAACGGGUGAGGAACACGUAGGUAACUUCCUCAUAGCGGGGGAUAACUUUUGGAAACGAUAGCUAAUACCGCAUACUGUGAGAUGGAAAUGCGUUGUAUUAGGUAGUUGGUGAGGUAAAGGCUCACCAAGGCGACGAUAAAUAGCCUACCUGGGAGGGUGAUGGGGCACACUGGGACUGGGACACGGCCCAGAAUCCGCCGGGAGGCAGCAGUAGGGAAUCUGCGGCAAUGGACGGAAUUCCGAACGAGCAACGCCGUGUGAGUGAAGAAGGUGUUGGGAUUGUAAAGCGUUGUUGUUAGAGAAGCGGUAACUAACGAGAAAGGGACGGCUAACUACGUGCCAGCAGCCGCGGUAAUAC